rnacentral:lncRNA from 1 species
UCUCUCUCCCUCAAUCAACAAGACAACAACUAUCUUCUUCCCCUUCAAAUUCACUUGCCACACCCUCAAUUAAUGAUAUAGGUUCCAUCUUCGUCUUCUCCAUCAGCAAAUCUUAGGUCUAAGGUUUUCUCGUUCUCAUAAUUCUCACUCCUCUCAAACCUUAGCUAGGGUUUCAUCUGCAAUUCAAUGUUAAUCACUUAGUUAGGUUGAUAAUUCCUCACUCCUCUCUAUACUCCAUUAUUUAUUAUCUUCUUCAUUCUUUUUGUUGUUAUCUCUUCACAGAUGAAUGGGGUUUCAGUUUCCAGCCACACAAAUUGCUCAACUCUUCACAAAUAAUUAGUGUGUUAUCUCUUCACAGAUAAUUGGGGUUAAUAAUAAGAACAAAUUGUUGAAUCUCUUACAGGUUAUUAUUCUCUCCCCUAACUAUAAUAUUCAAUUCAAUUUAUUGUGUGAAAAUUCUUAAAAAUUUUGUUGAAAAAACAGAUCUGACAGACCUUAUCAGACUGUUUUCUUGUUUUACACUUAGUCCCACAUGAGUUGUGGGAAGUGGGUAAAGAUGUUCAAAUACAAAAUUAUUACACUAAGGGUGUAGCCCUUUGGGUUAUCAAGUUUUCGCGCGAUAGCGCAAGGCUAUACACUUAGUUGUACACCACAACAGACGAUAGUCGUGUCUGUUGUGAACAGGCACGACUUACUCUAUAAAUUGAGUUUUGCUCUGGCCAGGCACACGAUUUAUUCAGACUAAGUCUGCUUCUCUCUCUCUCCAUAGAAAUUCGAAGUGUUCUUCUUGUUUGUUCGCCAGUAUUCUGCUAUUACAGUGCAAUCUAGCAGUUGUAUCUUGGGAGACUAUCGUCCAAUAUCCGUGUGCACCAGUAGCAGGGACGUAAUAUUGUCUUAAGGAUAUUGCUUCGGCAAGCCUUUGUUCAUCUCCUUAAUCAAUCAAGUUGUGUAGUAAGUGUUACUGUAUUCAUGAAUUCAUUUAAUAUAUUAUUAUUUGUUUACGGUUUGAAUUAGUAUAUUCUUUAUUUCUGUAAUUCGUGUAUGUUAUAUUCCUGAGUUCAUACAAUAUAAUCCCAACAAAUUUCAUAUCAUCAUUCCAAAAUCUCAGAUGGCAAAUUUUGUUUCAUUGAAACCCUAGUUUUUCAAAUACUGGAUUAAAUACUUAAAGACAUGUAGGUAUAAAUAUCAUGAAUGAACUAAGUUAUUUUUAAUAUUCAAUUCAGUUUAUUUGUUUUUUUUUUCUUUUGUUAGAUUGUGUACUUGAGUUCUGAUAAUUGGGCUUUCAUUGAUAAUUGGAUCUCACUAAUAAUUCUUUUUUCUUUAAGUUCAAUAAAGUUUAUGUCCUUAGUUAAAUGUUAGAAUGUGAUUGUUUACUGGGAACAAAUUAAUUAUAUAGGCCUAGAAUUGGAAGCCUACUUGUCUUGUAACAGAUUUUUGUCCUAGGCAUCUCUACUUCUAUUUUUGCAAAAUAAAUGCAAGAAGAUGAAUGUGUAUCUUCUACAUGAUGCAUUCAAGAGUACACACUACAGAAACAUGAAAGCAGUGUUGCAGAACACCACGACACUGUUGUGGAAUGACUUGACAAAACUGAACUGUAGGACUCCUGUUUUGUACUGGUGUACGUUGGGGUGAUAUUAGAAUUUGUUUACAAACAUUUUCUAUUUCUUUUCAAGCUCCUGCUACGAUAAAGUUUUAUAUAUUUUUCUCUUUGGAUAAUAGCUUUUGUUAAGUGUGCAUUUCUCUUGCUCCCAUUCGUUCCUGAAUUCUUUUGAACUUCUUGCUGCUCUGUAGGUCACAGUUGGCUCUUUUGUUUGAAUUCCUCAAUUUCUUGGAUAGGUGAUCAAAAAUAGUAACCAGUUUUGCGCCUUUGCUUUGGCGCAUUACUUUCUAAGUAAGAUUUUCUAUGCUAAGUACUAUAGUUUAACAUUUGGACUUAAAUAUUUUUUUUUUUUUGUUCUAGCUUAAAUAGUUAUUUAGAUCUUAUAAUCAGCCAUAUUACAAUUGAUUCUAUAUUUGGCCGUAUUAUUUUGUAUGUUGGGACAGUGGAUUGCUAUCACUUAUUUAUAUUUUUUUAGGAGGCAUAUAGUCUACUUUUUUGGUGUAAUAUGUAAUGCUCAUGGUAAAUAUGAAUGGAUAUUUUUAGUUGGCGCAUAACAACUUAUUAGUUCUUGAAUGAUGUUGGGAGGGAUUUUCUUAAAUUGAAGCUCCACAAGGAGACACUACACCGGAAAUGCUUGAGAGCAGUGGCUCAUGCAUUCUAAAAUCUAAACCAACUGGAAUCGGGAUAUCUGGUAUUCAUAUCUACUCAAUUGAUAAUUUCUUCAAUGAAGUAAAAGUUCAUAAUUUUAUAUUCUGAAUUCAUUACUAGUUUUUGUUUCAUCCAAUUUCAGAUCUUCAGUUUGUGAGAUGCCUUGUAUGCAAUCUUGAGGUUUGUUCAGAUUUACGGGUAGGUUUUACGCUAUUUUUCACUAGUAAUAGACCUACAAGCUUUCCUUCAAUGGAUUUUAAUACAUGAGAAUAAUGCAAGCCAAAAAUCUGACCAUCUAAUUUUCAAAGUUUAAAGUUUUAAAAAUUAAUUAAUCCUUUAGUUUGGUUGAUGUGUUUUUUCACUUGUAUGACAAUGUCUUUACUACAUUUUGCCCAAUAACCAUUAAGUGUUAACUUAUUUUCUAUAGUAAUAUUAUUAUUAACAUUAUUAUUUGCCGGGGAUGGGAUUGUGGUAAUGCUGAUUCUUAAGAUUGUAAUUAGAUGGAUUUGCUUAAAAAUAAAAUGGUUUAUGUUGUUCCACAUGUGGGUUAAAUUAAAAAUGAUUUAUGUUGUUGAACCGUGGUUGAUUCAGAUUUAUUACUAGUAAAAUGGUUUCUAGUAUAAGUAAUUUAUUUUUUUAUUUAUUACAGAUUGUGGAAGGAAGAUCAGCCUCAGUAUGAGAAUGACGAACUGUAAGUUUCUUGCUUUCUAACUGUUCUUUUUGUAAUUGCAUUUUCCAUUUCCAUUAGUGGUUUACCUCUGCCUCUCCUUCUAUGGGAUAGAAACUGAAAUUAGGAAACUGUCUUUUCAGUGCUUGGGUUGACAAUGUGGGGACUGUUACUUUUAUGUGUAUAAAUAUAUAUAGAUAAUGUGGUGACUGGUACUUUUGUAAGGUCUCACUACAGGCCUUGAACAUAAGAACCAUUUAGUUGGAUCGAAGUACUGAUAUUAUAUUUUUGUUUUUGAUCCAGGUAUUAUACUUUCGCUUUUUAUAAACUUUCUUUAUAAUGAGUUGUCAUGAACACUAGCUAUGGAUACUAUCUAUAUAUUCACAUGUUGAGAAACUGUAUGGUUUAGUCAGGGAAAAAAAAAACGGACCCAAUUAAGGUGUGGAAAUAUAAGAUUGGACCAGUUAGGGAACUAAUGGUAAAAUAGGCCCAACCGCUGAUUUCCGUGUCUUAUGGACUAGUUUACCCUUCGACUGAUGCAAAGACUUGUUUGCAUAUCAUAAACAUAUAAACAUACUUAUUUAUAUCAGUCACAAUACAAAUAUAAAAUGCAAAGACUUGUUUGCAUACUUGCAAACAACAACAUAAACCAUAAAAUGUAAAUACAAAGAAUUGUUUGCAUACUCGAAACGACGACAAGAUAAACUAGAAAAUGUAAAGACUUGUUUGCAUCAGUGACAACACAUAAAGAUUAAAUGCAAAAACUUGUUUGCAUACUCGAAACAAUGACAUACCAUAAAAUGCAAACAUUUGUUUGCAUAAACCAGAAGGGUAUUAUCGGUAGUGAAAGGGCCGUUUUUACAAUAUCAACAUUAAAUGGGUCUUUUCUUAUUUUACAAAUACUUAAUGAGGGCCAAUUUUACAAACCGGGCCUUAGUUGGGCCAAUUGUGUUUUAUAGGUGCUUAAUGAGGGCCUAGAACCAUUUCCAUGAUGGUUUAGUUUAUGUGCAAACUGCUUGCUUUUCAAUAUGCUUGGUGUGUUACUUGGAAGAUAAAAGAAUGCAUAUUUGUUAUGAAAAUGUAAAAUGGUUUAUUUUUGCAUCUUUUAACUUCAUAAUUAGGAUUGUUUUCAAACUUGUUAAAUGUGGUAACUGAUUGAGUGAUAUGAUUGCAGGUGCUAAGAAAUAUUGUAAGACUGGAGAUGAGGUUUGACUCUCACUCCACACAUUCAAGGCUUGUGUAGAUUGACGGAGGAGAAUUUUGUCUAAGUUGGGAUGAAGUUUAUAAAUUUAAUGAUUUCUGAAGAGAUUGUAAAAAAUGAAAAAUACAUUACUGUUAGUGGCCAUAUUAUAAUUAUUGAAAAUUUAGGGGUAGAAAACAAAAUAAAAAAAUUAAUUUUUUUCUCGAUUUGCUCGGUUUUGAACCGUGCCUAAAUUUUUGCCACGGGUCAUGUUUUUAUGUAAGUUUCCAAGUGUCAACUAGUUGUUUGAGUUCAGACUUGAAGUUUGGCAUGAUCUUGAUUUUUUUUGGCACA